CAGUAGCCGCGGUAAUACGUAGGGUGCAAGCGUUAAUCGGAAUUACUGGGCGUAAAGCGUGCGCAGGCGGUUCUAUAAGACAGAUGUGAAAUCCCCGGGCUCAACCUGGGAACUGCAUUUGUGACUGUAGAGCUGGAGUGCGGCAGAGGGGGAUGGAAUUCCGCGUGUAGCAGUGAAAUGCGUAGAUAUGCGGAGGAACACCGAUGGCGAAGGCAAUCCCCUGGGCCUGCACUGACGCUCAUGCACGAAAGCGUGGGGAGCAAACAGGAUUAGAGACCCCUGUAGUCCCUGUCUUUUAUAC
rnacentral:rRNA from 1 species